CAUUCCGGUCGUCCUUUUAUCUUCGGGGUUUCCCUUUUGCCCUUUAUGUUUCGAUGCCCUAAUUCCUGACGAGCGACGCUACCCCGCGAUCGCUCUCUCGCCCCCGAGGAUCACACCUUUGCCGUCGAUAUUACCUCUCCGUGGUGGCGAGCCCUCCAUUGCCGUCGCUUGCCAAGUGGUGCCUGUCUCUCUAGUGCGAUUAGCUUGUGAUUCCAUUCCUAGUAAUGGCAAGUUACUCAGGGAGAGGUGGACCAUCAAAUGGCUCUGUUUAUGUGUGUAAGUUGCCUCCUGGAACUGAUGAGACUAUGCUGGCCGAGUAUUUUGGCACCAUAGGGUUGCUAAAGAAGGAUAAAAGGACUGGUCGACCAAAAAUUUGGUUGUAUAGGGAUAAAACUACCAAUGAACCUAAGGGCGAUGCAACAGUUACAUAUGAGGACCCACAUGCAGCUCUCGCUGCUGUUGAAUGGUUCCACAACAAGGAUUUUCACGGAGUUCCCAUUGAAGUUUAUAUAGCAGAGUCAAAAACUAAAGACUCAAUUGAUAAUUCAACUCAGCAGGAUGGUUUUGAAGAAAAUCCAAUUAUGGAAGUUGGAGGGCAUGAUGAUCUGAAUGGUGCCGGAGGUAGAGGUAGAGGUCGUGCUGGUGCAUCAGGAAAAUCAUGGCAACAAGAUGGAGACUGGAUGUGUCCCAAUACAAGGUCUGUGGUAUGAUAUUGUUGUUCCAAUGUGAACUUUGCAUUCCGUGGUGUGUGUAACCGGUGUGGGACAGCUCGUCCUGCUGGUGUUGGUGGAACAGGUGCUGGUGGCGGUGGUCGAGGAAGGGGCCGAGGUAGUGGUGAUGCUGGAGGAGUUGCCCGUUCUGUUGGUGGUCCCACAGGGCUUUUUGGUCCAAAUGACUGGCCCUGUCCGAUGUGUGGCAACAUUAAUUGGGCAAAGCGCACAAAGUGCAAUAUAUGUAACACCAACAAGCCAGGUCACAAUGAGGGUGGUGUGAGGUAAUAUGAAUCAUGCAUAGAAUGGCCAUAUUGUAAGAACAUUUGAAACUUAUUAUUAUGGAUAUUAAAUGAUUUUUACAAUUUUUAUGUCUAUAUUUUACCCAACUGUUUAGCAUGUUGGAUAAGUUUAUAAACUGAAUUAUUCCUUGUUUGAUUUAUGUUAUAAUUCUUCAUACCAUGUGCUUGCUAAGCAUAACAGAACCGGAGUUGAUAAUGAUAAGCAUGCAAGCAUUGUUUUUCAGUUUGGCUUUAGUUAUGCUCCACUGAUAGUAAUAGUGACACAUGGAGACAGUCAUAUUUUCUUCUGAUGCCUGGGCAUUUAUGCCAUGCUUAUUUCUCGACCUGAAUGUAGAUGUUGUUGUAGCUUAAUUGAGAACCACUUAUGUAAUUUUGUUGAAGCAUUUUCUUGGUUCCAUUGCUUUAUUUGAUAGAGGAGGCCGUGCUGGAGGUUACAAAGAACUUGACGAAGAAGAAAUAGAAGAAACAAGGCGACGGAGAAGAGAAGCUGAAGAGGAUGAUGGAGAGAUAUAUGAUGAAUUUGGAAACCUUAAAAAGAAAUUUCGUGCAAAAACACAACAAGCUGAAGCUGGGCAAAUGGUUCCUGGCUCUGGCCGUGCUGGAUGGGAGGUUGAGGAGAUAGGUGUCUCCGAGAGACACGGUGGAGAGAAAAGCAAAGACCGUUACAGAGAUUUCAAUGAACGGGAAAGCAGCAAGAACCGGGAAAGAGAUGGUUCUGAGAGGGAGAGGGAGAGACGCAGGAGCCGAAGCAGAGAAAGGGAGAGGGAGCGUGAGAAGGAACGAGGGAGAGUCUCGGAUCGAGAUUAUGGAUAUGAAAGAGGUCGGGAACGUGGUAGGGACCGCCACCGAGACUGGUAGUGCUUUUGCCAAGGCUAGGUUUCUACUGCUGCGCAUGCCUUUAGUAUAUUGAAACUGUUUUGUGUCAUCUGUAGCUGGAAGCUUUGUUAAAAAUUUCUUGCUUGAACAUCCACUUUCUUCUUUCUGUUUCCCCCGCCCCCCCCUUUUUUCAUUUUACCAACUGAUGACAUCCUUUCAUAUCAACUUUUGAAGCAAAUGUUUUGAUUAUUCUAGUGAUUUGAGUGAUGCUAGACUAUUGCAAAAUGCAGGCGCUGAUAAAAAGCCAGCUUGUGAAAAGCUUUCUAGUUC